AUUUGGCACGUGUAAAGUUAAGCCCUUUAGUCGCCUCUUAUCCUCUUCACGAUUAGCCACCGUCACUUCUUCUUCCCGUGAGCGACCUUGCCGCUUUCAUGUCGUUCGAGCUUCUAUCAAGUUACUUCGAGGUCAUGGCAACGUAACGAUUGUUGAUUCGAUCCAGUCAAAACAAUUAAUGUCAUCAUUAACAACAUCACCGGCUCAUCCAACGAAGUCUCUUUCGAUACACCUUCUCCUAUCUCAAUGCUUGCGGAUCUACUCAUAUAAAUAAGUGAUUUGAUGGUUAAAAGGUCAUCACUCUACUUCUUCAAGAUCAAUAUAAUAUUCACAAACUCUUGAUUUAGUAUUUUAGGUCCGACAAAGAUAAAGGAAUCGGAUAGCGUGAGAGAAUCAAAGCCUCUGAAACUCUUGAUUUAGUAUUUUAGGUCCGACAAAGAUAAAGGAAUCGGAUAGCGUGAGAGAAUCAAAGCCUCUGAAACUAGAUAACGGUUUGUGUAAAUCGCUUUCUUUAUCGGCUCGGUUCAAACAAGAGUUGAAGCAAUGCGCUGCCCUAAAGCGUCAGUUUCUCUUUGCAGCUGUGCAUGAGAAGUACAAGGAAAGACAAGAAAGCAUAAGAUGGAAUAUGGACAGAGCUUGAAAUUUCUCAAGAAGAAGAAGCAGCAGGAAUGGAUGGUGGAUCACGUCUAUAACAUAAAAUCACUCUGAACCAAACCACGUCAUGGUUUGUUGUAUCCGUUUUUUUUUGAAAAAAGAGUUCAGUUUGUCAAAAAAAAGAAAAGAAAAUUUGAUUACACAACUCGGUAUCGUUCAUCACUGAUUACAUAGCUUAAUGUUAUGUUAUAAUAACAGUGUAUGAAGCGUUCAUGGAAUCAUGAUAAUUUCGAGACGUCUAAUUUAAUCACAAGAAGAAUAGUCGGAAAGUGACAAUAUAAGGCCAUUUUUAGCUAAAUUGGUAUAAUUCAAUUUACAAAAUACAUAUUUGUAUGUGUCAAUUAUUUAAAUGUUUCUGAAGUUGUAAUAAGAUAAUAAGAAAAAGCAAAGAAUCUCAAUUGACACCACAAUCAUCGUGUUAUCAAAUAUGAUUUGCAUAGGUAAAAUCCUGAUUAAGCCAUGUCAUCGUUCACGUCAUUUCUUUAAUGUAUGAUUUUUUGACAAAAUCCAUAUGGUUGUCUGAGACUAUCAACAUAUAUAUAGCUGCUUUCUCUCUGCUCCUCUAAUCAGUUUACUGAAGCAUUUCGUGUCUUUUAUUAACCUGAUGUCAGCAUGAGAAGAAGCUAACCAUGGAGGACAAAAUAAGAUAAGAGAUGUGGAUGAUGUUGAGUCCAAUCAUUCGAAGAACAUAGAUGCUUCAAGUGGCAAGAAAGCUUUAAGAGCCUCUAAUGACAGCGACACCAAGUAUGGCUGUGUGGGAACAAGAAACAACUUUAUAGUAAAGUAGAAGUUUACAGUCGAGGAAUAAGUAUGAUUGCAAACAUGACAAAGACAUAUAUAAGUGAUUUUGUGGCAAUAAAAUUACAAGAAACUCUGAUAGUUUGGAUGAGUAUGAAAACAUGAGGAAGCUAAGGAUGCAGGUUCCAUGUC